CCAUCGGCAGCCCUGGCCGCCCGGCAAGGCAGCUGGAGGCUGGAAUAAGUUUAAGUGAAGGGUGCGCCGAACUGAAGAGGGAAAAGGCUCUAAUUCCCAUAAUGAAGUGAGCCCUGGUGAGUACAGUGACCACCACUCGGCAGCGGGCCGCCUGCAGGGCCACCUCCGGGCCACGACAGCCCUCACCGCAGCCUGGGCUGCACCUGUGCUGCCCGGGACUCUACCCUUCCUGCCUCCCAUGGGGCUCUGGGCCAGCGGCUGACACCUGCUGUAGGAACAGGCAGGGACACAGGGGAACUCGUGUCACCUGGGGUGAGCCUCAGAUCCCCAUAUGGUUUGUGAUCAGAGGACCACUUUGCAAGGUGAAGGACCUCUGAUCCUCCCUGACGGUCCUCACUCAGUGGGGGUGGGGUCCAGGUGUCCUGGCCUUGCCCGGGCCCACCUGAGUCCCAGGGGCAUGGGCGCUGGUCCCCAAGCACCCACUGAACACUGAGUGGCCAAGUCCAGCUUCCUCUGCAGAGCCUCCUCCUUGCGCCGCUCCUGCCCACCCCGCCUCUGACCCUCGGCCUCACCUGCGCGGGCUGUGGGACUAUCUAGCCACCCCGGCUCCUCCCGGACACCGUCCCGGCCCACUCACGCAGGCGGUGUGUGCGCCCGCCCCCUACCUUUCAGCAGCAGCUGGAACUCCUUCAGCAGCACCUCCCGGGGAAUGAUGGGGCCAGGGGGGCCUUGGGGCCCAGGGGGGCCUGGGGGCCCCGGCAGGCCAAGCUGAAAAGGAACCUCAGCAGGCUCAGAGGACGUCUGAGCAGGUAGGCGGGGGACCACUGGGACCUCUCCACGAGUUCUCACCACUCAGGCAGGCAGGAGGGGAUCCUGCUUUGACCUGGGGGUGAAGGUCAGCCUCCCGGCCUCCGACUCCCCUGAGAAGGCAGUGAGGCUGCGCUUUGGAAGCCGUGGGCUCUGAGUGUGAAGACGGGGAUUGUGGGGCCUCUGGGGGUGGGGCCCCAAGAACCACAAAUGGGGACACAGAGGGGUUCCUGGGUGGAGGGAGAGGGGGACAUUGCCGGUCAGCCAACAGCAAGUGAGUCCCCUGCAGGGGAGAGCACCCUGGCUUAGCUUGGGGUGGGGCCAGGUGGUUCCAAGGGGUGACAGGGAGGCGAGGCCACAGUGACAGCCCGGCAGCCCACCCACCUCAGGCCCAGAGCCCAGCACCCCAGCACUGGGGUAGACCCGGGACAGGGCAAUGCCAGUCCUGGGUGGGUAGAGAAGCCCAAACCCAGUGUGAGUGACACGGCCCUGGCCCAGAGCCCCCCACCCCUGGGGACAAGGAAGGGGCAGACAUCAGGAGCUGGUGGCAGGUUUCGGGCUAGCUGAACGACAGUGGGGACCCCACAGCCUCCAGGGCCCCUGAGGCUCCCCACCUCCCCAGGCAGACGGUGUGUUGCUCUAGCCCAGCUGCAAUCCCCGGCUUGGUCCCGGACUCCCCUCCCAGGUCAGCCCAGGCCCCCCUCGCUAGGAUGCAGAGGGAAGAGAAGGGGGUAGCUAAUGGGGCUGUCACCUCACAGCUCUCUAGGGGUGCGGGGAAAAUGUAGGAACAACUGUCAAACUCAGGGUCGUCUGGUCCCCCAGCCUGGCACUUUCCGUGCUCUCUGACCCCAGGCCAAGGGGGAGGGUCCGUCCUCACUGGCCAUGCUCAGGGUGCUCCCGCGGAGCUGGUGCAGGGUGCUCGGGGGUGAUGGUGGCAGGCUGGGGGCGCCGGGGGGCCCGCAGGUGGAGGCCCCUCGCUUGUCCCCGGAGACGCACACGCACACGCUGCUGGGGGCUCUUGUGCUCACCUUCAGCUUCCUGGCCUUGCCUCUCCCUCCCCUCUUGCCGUUGACGCCUUUGUCACUCUGCCUGAUGAAGAGCAUCCAGGCGUCCCUGGGGUCGAAGUUGUGCGUCCCGUCGGUGGCAGGCUCCUGGAACACAGCCGGCCCUCGGGUCGGUUCGCCUCCCCCGCUGGGUGCCCGCCACGCAGAUGGAGCUUUGCAGGCCGUCAGGGCGCAGGACGGGCCUCGGGCCCUUGUCCUGGUCCAUGGCGGCGCCCUCCAAGCUGGCACAGCCCCCCCGCCGGCCCGUGCUUCCCUCCCUCCUGGCACACGGAGGACGACGACCAGGCCACACGACAGCCUGGGCACUGCGAGAAGACAACUUCCUGGCGCUUUGUGGGGUGCAGGAAGGUGGGUGUGGAGCCUGGUAGCAGGUGGGAGCCCUGGCCCCGCUGGGCCCCCAGCCCCCUCUCCCUGGGACAAUGACCGAGAGGAUGGGACCACAGACUCACGAGUGCAGGGGAGGGGGCGGUGAGACCACGAGGGCCCGUGCGGCCCAUUUUGGCCCUCGGGGCGGCUGCAGCUUGCAGGUCGAGGCGGUUAGAGGCCCGGAGGCUCAAGGCCCCUGCACGGGGUGCCACACCACCCGGCUCCCUCAGGCCUCCUAAACAACGGCAGUGAUGAUUCUAGAAAUAUCCAUUGCCCUGCAUGCGGCAUUCUGACCAGUCCUGGCUCCGAGGAAGAUUCCAGGAUGUGCCUUGCAGGGAGAGGCCAUGGCCCAUGAGGCAGUGGGCCUCAGGCGUUCUGGGCUCCGGGCAAGGAGGGCUCAGGUGAGGCCACGAGCAGCAGCGCAGGUGGCAAUGGAGCCCAGGGUUUUGGAGGCGGCCAGGACCCUUGGUCAGCGCCCGAGCCAGUGGUCUCCCGGCCGCCCUGCGGGACCGGCGUGCCACGGUGGGGAGGCGGGGCCCUCCCUGUCGGAGGAGCCUGGGGCUGCACAGAGAGAGGCCUCAGGGUGCCCAGGGCCUCCCCACUGCCAGGUGCGGCCCUGCUCGCCGCUCACCGAGGACACAGGACUGGAUUGCACCUUCCGGCCCCGCUCUGCCUUCCGUGGGAACACACGCCAGGAGCAUCCCACACAGGCCGGAGCGGCGUGCCUGGCUGACCCUGCCAGUGGGGCCGGUGGAUCCCAGCUGGACUCAGACCCCAGAGGAGGUGUCCAGGUGUCAGCGGAAGCCCAGCGGGGGCCUGCACUUGGCACUGCCUGCAAGCUCUUGGGGACACGCUGAACCAGACCGUCUCCCCGAGGGCCCUGUCCCCUCUGGGUCUGCAAGGCCUGCCCACACCGGGGCCCCUCUGAAGCACCCCCAACGUCCCCACCUGACCACUCUGCCCUGCCCUCGAAGGAAGAACGGGGCGCAGCUGAAGAUCACCCCUCCAAGUAGAAGGAAACGAUCUGGGAUUCAUCUGGAAACUGCAGAUCCCCAAGAAGACGUUUGGUGAACACCGGCUUCUGUCACAGGCUCUCAACAAAAUACACGAGCUUCUUUCAUCUGCAGACAUUCGGCAGCUUUGUUCCUGUGAACAAUCCCAGUGAUGUCAUGGGCCCUGCCGGAGGACCCAAAUCAAAUCGGUUCUGGUGCCGGUACAGGCUCCCAUAAAGCUGUCCCGAGGUGAUGAUGCAGCCUGGCUCUGGGGCCGGGGCCUUCAGGAAGGACCUUUGCCGAUGAAGUCAUGGGAAUAAAAGCUCCCUUUGCCCCGGAAAACAGUGGGAGCCUGAAGUCAACUUGUUGUGUGGCCUCUCAACGUCCAGGCAGGCGACCUUUCGCUGCUUCCUGGAACCUUCCGAACACAUGACAUCAUCUAAUUCUCAAAUCGUGUGAUUAUCCCCAUUGCACAGAUGAGGAAACUGAGCCUGAGAUCUUGGGACUGGCCCAGGUCACGCGUCCGGCCUUUGCAACUCGGAGUCAGCAGGCUCACGGGGUGAACAACGUUUACUCGUUCCUGCCGCGGGUCAGGGGGUGAGCCCCGCGCAUCCCGGACAGGUCCGUGGGCAACUUCAGAUCUGACAGGGGAAGAGCCUGCCCUGAAAAGCUCUGGGGCUGACUCAGCUUUGGGGAAGUCCUCCUGGCUCGUGGGGGGCUUAUUCCAAACAGGAAAUGACGUCCUCUGUGAAGAUUCUCAGGGAAGCUCCCACUUCCUUCUUCAAUUAAUCAGCGUCGUGCUUGGCCGCCUCCCUGGGGUCCCAGGAGCAAUCGGCCGUGCACGCAGCCACGGUAGCCACACCUCAGGCUGAGUGGCACCGGGGACCAAAGAUGAAUGACAAGGCCCCGGAGGAGUGGCCGUCCUUACCUUGUAUGUGGCUGUGACCACCCCUCCCUCAGUCACAGAUAGAGUCUUGGUCAAAACGCCUACUUCCCGCUCAGCCAACUGGUCGACCAACCAGCUAGAGCCGGGGAAUGAACUGACUACGGUGAACUGUCGCCUGACCAGCUCGUUAAUGACAGAUACUUACCCGGGACUGUCAACUGCUUGCUUCCAGCAGUCACCGUCCCUGCCUAGUACAGGGAAGAUGCUCAAUAAGAAAAGGGUCUCGUGGGACGCCUGGGUGGCUCAGCGGUUGGGCGUGUGCCUUUGGCUCAGGGUGUGGUCCCAGUCCGGGGAUCGAGUCCCUUCGGGGAGCCUGCUUCUGCCUCUGUCUCUGCCUCUCUGCGUCUC